GGCGUGCAGCAUUAUUCCAUGAUGAUAAUGUGAUGUUCUGAUUAAAUUGGACAAGAAGAAAAUUGUGCCUUGUACAAAUAUAGGAAAAUUACAAAUUGUAUUAAAGGAGGACCACAUUACUGGAGGACUACAUUACUGGAGGACUAAUUACCUUGGAUUAUCAUGAUCAAUUGUGAAUUUGGAAUAACAAAAUUUCGUAGUUGCAGUGAAUAUUAA
rnacentral:lncRNA from 1 species